rnacentral:tRNA from 1 species
GGUAGUGUGGCCGAGCGGUCCAAGGCGCUGGAUUUAGGCUCCAGUCUCCGAAAGGAGGCGUGGGUUCAAAUCCCACCACUGCCA